UCUCAAGAUGGUGGUGUACGGCGUCAA
rnacentral:piRNA from 1 species